GCCUGGGUGGCUCAGUCGGUUAAGCGUCUGACUUCAGCUCAGGUCAUGAUCCCACAGUUCGUGGGUUCGAGCCCCGCAUCGGGCU
rnacentral:tRNA from 1 species